UUGGAGACAGAACGUUAUGCUUUAUUGGGGAAUUUUGUAGACAGUAUAGCUUUAAUGUGACCAAUAAUGGCCUAAUUUACUUUUGUUUGAGACAUGGCAUGCGUAGCCCUGUCUGUCCUGGAACACCACAUGUAGAUCUGGUUGCCCUUGAACUCAGAGAUUCACCUGCCUCUUCCUCUAGAGGUGUAGUUUUAGUUUGAAUUAUGGCCCCUAUGUCUUUCUUACAUGCCAGAGCUUCGGUAAGCUACAUCUUAGCACUGGAAUAGCUCUAAAUGAGACAGCCAUUUAUUAAGUAUGUCCCACUACUAAUUAGUUUAACCAGUGAUUGCUACAUAAAUUCAUAUUAUCUAGAAAGUGAGAGUGAGACCGGAGAGGUGAUUAGCACUGUUAGAAGACAUACUUUGAAAGAGGCAGGCCUGUUUGAAACAGAGAAAUAUAGAAAAAUAUUGGAAAGAAAUUAUUGCUUCGGAUAACAUUCUCUCUCACCUGGUCCCUCCCCUCCUCUCCAACCUCUGCACACUCUGUAACCCAGGCUAGCCUCCAACUCCUGUAGUUACGCCUUAGCCUCGCUGGAGCACUAAAAUUACAGGUAUGCGUCACCACACCUGGCUUCAGAGACGUUCAAAGAGCAUUUUCGAAAACCGGCUUUAACCUAAUUAGAAGAGAGUAUUCGUUUGCUCAGCCUACCUCAGAAAAGGACAGCAAAGAAUUUGGUGAGUGGUGGCUAGACUGCCUGCAGAGCUCUGGCUACUUGCCUGGACUUCAGCGGGAAGCAGAACUAGGCAAACAGGAAGGUUGGGGCGGAAGAAGCUGGAACACCUGUGCCUGUCCUGUAGGGGAGGAGUUUCAAUGCUGAUAAGAAGUCUGUUGAUGGGAUGGGGUGGGGGCUUGAAGCAUUCAGUUGUCAUGACUCACUGAAGAGUACUCUACUAGUUAUAGAAUGAAAAUGUGUGUGUGUGUGUGUGUGUGUGUGUGUGUGUGUGUGUGUGUGUGUGUGUAGCGACAAGCAAUUAAUACUAAAGCAUAUGCUAGGGAGUUACUGAGCAUACUGUACUGGGUAUCUAGUAGCACCAGCCAAACUUGGUGACUGCCAGUGGAGGCAGGCUGGGGAAAUAACUCAGCAGAGAUAAAAUCAAGCGGUGGUCUGCGUCCAAGAUUCCUAUCGGAGGCAAAAGAUGCCCCAGGCUCUGAACAGGUUGUUUUGCACAGUGAGGGAGAGACCGGCCCCUGGAGGUGCCCAGCAACCUAGAAUUCGGGCAAGCUCAGUGUCUCACCUCCUGCAGGUGUCAGUCGGGUUCGCUUUACACCAAGUCUUUUACCAUGGCAACGUCCCCAAAAGAUUACUGGGUCGUCUGCCUCUUAAAAAAAAAAAAAAAGAUUUCCCUUACAAUCAAAUCAAAAUGCUCUAUUAAAACAGACACGUCGUGUGACACGUUGCAUUCACAUUGGACGUUUGACCUUUACACACGUUUGUGAUUCCCGAAGAUCAGAGGCUGAAGCGCCAAGCCUGGAAGGAGAAGUACCUUAACAAGAAAGGUUUUUAACUGAACACACGCUCACACCCCUCUGCUCAAACGUCUGGAGAGAUUUUCUUUGUCAGUGGUCGGCAGGGGACCGCUGACGUGUGGGGUCGCCUUUGAGGGGUCUCAGAGCAAGGCAGGGGCAGUGGGCGUCCUCCUUCGCUCUCCAUCUUGGAGUGGGAGUCUGAGUGCGGCUUUCCCUGAGCCCCGCGGCCAGAGCGGACACCGCCGAGGGUCGGAGGAGUGCGGGAAGAGCAGCUUCGAGGGGACCCCGCCAGCCCCC
ensembl:lncRNA